UACGUAGGGUGCAAAUGUUGUUCGGAAUCACUGGGCGUAAAGGGUGCGUAGGCGGGUUCUUAAGUUAGGUGUUUAAUCCCGGGGCCCAACCCCGGACCGGCGCUUAAAACUGGGAAUCUUGAAUAGUGGAGAGGUCAGUGGAAUUGGAGGUGUAGCGGUGGAAUGCGUAGAGAUCUCCAAGAACACCAGUUGCGAAGGCGGCUGACUGGACACAUAUUGACGCUGAGGCUCGAAAGCAUGGGGAGCAAACAGG
rnacentral:rRNA from 1 species